UACGAGUGGUGCAAGCAUUAUUCGGAAUCAUUGGGCGUAAAGGGUGCGUAGGUGGCAAACUAAGUCUACUGUUAAAUGUCUCGGCCUAACCGAGAACCUGCAGUGGAUACUGGUGUGCUAGAGGAUGGGAGAGAGAAGUGGAAUUCUCGGAGUAGCGGUAAAAUGCGUAGAUCUCGAGAGGAACACCGAUGGCGAAAGCAGCUUCUUGGCCUGAUCCUGACACUGAUGCACGAAAGCGUGGGGAGCAAACAGG
rnacentral:rRNA from 1 species